UUCCUGACCUCGGAUCAGACGUGAUUACCCGCUGAACUUAAGCAUAUCACUAAGCGGAGGAAAAGAAACUAACAAGGAUUCCCUUAGUAUCGGCGAGUGAACAGGGAAAAGCCCAGCACCGAAGCCUGUGGUCAUUUGAUCACUAGGCAAUGUGGUGUUCAGGUCGUUCCGUUGAGGUACUGCUCCACCCUAAGUCCAACAAUGAGUACGGUAGUACGGACAUGGCCCACAGAGGGUGAAAGGCCCGUGGGGGUGGAG
rnacentral:rRNA from 4 species